rnacentral:rRNA from 2 species
AGAGUUUGAUCCUGGCUCAGGAUGAACGCUGGCGGCGUGCCUAACACAUGCAAGUCGAGCGAUUCUCUUCGGAGAAGAGCGGCGGACGGGUGAGUAACGCGUGGGUAACCUGCCCUGUACACACGGAUAACAUACCGAAAGGUAUGCUAAUACGGGAUAACAUAAGAAAUUCGCAUGUUUUUCUUAUCAAAGCUCCGGCGGUACAGGAUGGACCCGCGUCUGAUUAGCUAGUUGGUGAGGUAACGGCUCACCAAGGCGACGAUCAGUAGCCGACCUGAGAGGGUGAUCGGCCACAUUGGAACUGAGACACGGUCCAAACUCCUACGGGAGGCAGCAGUGGGGAAUAUUGCACAAUGGGCGAAAGCCUGAUGCAGCAACGCCGCGUGAGCGAUGAAGGCCUUCGGGUCGUAAAGCUCUGUCCUCAAGGAAGAUAAUGACGGUACUUGAGGAGGAAGCCCCGGCUAACUACGUGCCAGCAGCCGCGGUAAUACGUAGGGGGCUAGCGUUAUCCGGAUUUACUGGGCGUAAAGGGUGCGUAGGCGGUCUUUUAAGUCAGGAGUGAAAGGCUACGGCUCAACCGUAGUAAGCUCUUGAAACUGGAGGACUUGAGUGCAGGAGAGGAGAGUGGAAUUCCUAGUGUAGCGGUGAAAUGCGUAGAUAUUAGGAGGAACACCAGUAGCGAAGGCGGCUCUCUGGACUGUAACUGACGCUGAGGCACGAAAGCGUGGGGAGCAAACAGGAUUAGAUACCCUGGUAGUCCACGCCGUAAACG